GUAGGUGGCAAGCGUUGUCCGGGAAUUAUUGGGGCGUAAAGCGCGCGCAGGCGGUUCUUUAAGUCUGAUGUGAAAGCCCACGGGCUCAACCGUGGAGGGUCAUUGGAAACUGGAGAACUUGAGUACAGAAGAGGAAAGCGGAAUUCCACGUGUAGCGGUGAAAUGCGUAGAGAUGUGGAGGAACACCAGUGGCGAAGGCGGCUUUCUGGUCUGUAACUGACGCUGAGGCGCGAAAGCGUGGGGAGCAAACAGGAUUAGAUACCCUGGUAGUCCACGCCGUAAACGAUGAGUGCUAAGUGUUAGGGGGUUCCCGCCCCUUAGUGCUGCAGCUAACGCAUUAAGCACUCCGCCUGGGGAGUACGGCCGCAAAGGCUG
rnacentral:rRNA from 1 species